GCUUUCUCUAGGACGUAUCAGUCAGACGGCAGAGGAAACAUCCAAAAUGCUGGGAACAUCCUGUGUCACGGUGUCUCCCUGGCCCCCAGAGAAGGAAACGGAAGUGACACUUCCCAGCUUAGAGGUUUUGCAGCUGCUGUUCCUUCUGCCCAGAAUCCUUUUCCACGUGAUCAUCACACAGUGGACCAGUGAGUCAGGUGACAUCAACGGCCCUCUAGAGAGGAGAUCAGAGACACAGAGCAAGGUGUCCAUGGGCACAGCCACAGAGCUCGGAUUCGGACCCGAUUUGUCUGAUUCCAACUUUCUCCAUCAGUAAGCAAAGCACGUGAGAGGAAGGAGAGGGGAGAUUGUCCUCCGCGCUGGGACCCACAACCACAGAACUACGCAAGGCAAACACAACAGAGAUUAGAAUGCUGGGGUUUGUUCUCAUGGGCCUCAAUAUCCGUUCUUCCACUGAAGAGAGGACCUCGUUCACAGCUGUGUCCCCGACAUCUGGAACAAGACCUGGCCCCGAGCAGAUGUGCAACCAGUAUCUGCCCAAAUGAAGGAAUGCACAGGCCACAGGCCCAGCAGUUGAUCUUGAGUUCUAAAGGAAGGGGCUGGGCCAGACAAUGCCCGUCCCCGCCUCCGCACUGAGGGGCUUCCUGACCAGUGACAUCACCCUGCCUUCCCCCGCAGCCUCUGCCUCCUCAGCACUGUCUUAGGAAGGUCUGCUGCAGAACGCCGUUGAGAUCAGGGUGCUGUCUGCAUGCGAUGCAAGGCCCUGCAUCCAGGAAUGCUAAUCCCAGGUCCCGGAUAAGAAGCCGCACCUGGACGUGAGGUGUGACAAGCAGACAGACUUUUCCCGGGGGAGUGGGUGUCCAUCUUUAAACACUUAAUGUACCUUAUAUUCAUUGUAAAACAGCAAACACAGACUGAAUGGACAAGGUCGGGAGACCAUGGUGGUGGGGGAACACGUGAAUUCCAUGGAAUCCCAACACCCAGAAAUGACACACGUUUUCAACAUGCCAGUGUGAUUUCAGAUGUUUUGAGCAACAAACGCUUUUUGAACUUUUUACUGAAUAUGAACACAGGGGAAAACUCACCCUCAUAAGUGUACACCGACUCAAGGGACAUGAGUCUGAGAAAACUCCAGGAGGUGGUGAAGGACAGGGAAGCCUGGCGUGCCACAGUCCAUGCGGUCACAGUCAGACACGACUGAGAGACUGAACAACACCACCACCAAAAGUGUAGAGUUCAGUGACCUUUGCCACGUCCAGGGGAGUAUGAACACACAAGGUGGAGUGAGCUAAUCCUGUUCUCUUUGUCCCACGUUCUCAUGAACGUACUUUCCUUCUGUCCCCCCACAACAAGCCUGCUCCUGGUCACAUCAGCCCACCUCCUUCACAGGGCAACCCCCCAACCAGAAGAGCCCAGGGGCAUCGCAGGGGCUCCCGCAGGCAGUCAAGGUUCUCCACAGUGUGCAAGACCAGUGUGUGUCUCCCAGCCGCGCUGCACGCCCCCCCAGAGCAGCACCCCCAGAACAGAUCCUCCCCACAUCCAGCUCUGCUCUGCAGCCCCAGCCCCAGCCCUGAGGUCCCACCCUGGAACAUUGAGGCUCCUCCCGAGAGAUUCUAGACAGGUAACAUGGCUCUCCUGAGACCAUGGGGGCCCCAGCACAGCGCCUGUCAGUUCCCCCAUGGGCUCUGGGAGAAAACAGGAACUUCCCCCAGCCCACUCGCUCCCACCAAGACUUCCCUGAGG
ensembl:lncRNA